rnacentral:rRNA from 1 species
GUACGAGCGAAUACGCGAUAGAUCUGAGAGUGGUGCAUGGCCGUUAUCGACGAGUGGAGUGAUCUUUUGGUUAAAUCCGACAAGUCGUGAGACCCUCGAAAGAUAUUAUAUAUAUAUUAUAUAAAUCUCCGGCAUAUACAGGUAUGAAAAUACAGGAAGGAGAGGACAAGAACAGGUCAGUGAUGCCCUUAGAUGGUCUGGGCUGCGCGCGCACUACAGUGGUUAUUUUAAUAGGAAAUGAUUAGUUAUAUAUUUAUAUUAAGCUUAAUUAUAGAAGUAAAGAUAAUCGAGAGGGAAUGAGCGCUGCAAGGCGCACAGGAACGAGGAAUUGCUAGUAAUCGCAGGCUCAGUAAGAUGCGAAGAAUGUGUCCCUGUUCUUUGUACACACCGCCCGUCGUUAUCGAAGAUGGAGCCGGGCGCGAACAAGCAAAAGCGAGUGAGUGUACGGUUCUAGAUCUGAUACAAGUCGUAACAAGGCAGCUGUAGGAGAACCUGUAGCUGG